GGAGGCGCAGGGCGCGAACGAGAGGAGAAGGUUGAGCAUCCCGCCGACGACAUCGUUUCGAGCUCAAGAUACAUGCAACAAUUGAGGUUUCAUGUGCAAGGAAGCAAAGAAGAUGCGAGACCGUUUUUCUUUUGGAAUAGAAGAAUCAAAGGAUACACCGACCGAGUCAGUCUGAACUUCGAUUAAAUAUGAUAUGCGUGUUUACAAAUCUUUCCUUCAUGAAUAUUUUGAAACCUUCACAUUAUGCUGAUAUGUAUUUUCUGGCAGAGCAGUCUUCAACAUUGACGGUUACCAUUUUUAUUUUUUAUCUCAGCUCGUGAGAUUUCUCUACUGUCCUGACACAAAUUUACUCUAUAUGAUGAAUCCAAGGCUCAGUAUAAGGAUUUCCUGAUUUAUUAUUUGCCGCAUCUGGUGUUUCUCAUCUUAGCAUGAAUUUGAAGUGUCACCUUUUGCAUCCAAGUAAUACUAUUGGUUCACAUUGAUCCUAUCUACCAUGUACCAAAUCACUCACUUUUCUAAAUACUGAUAUGGAAUUAACCUUUGGUUACAACCCUAUUUGGUUUUGAGUUACAAAAUGUCCUUAUUUAAGAUUUUGCUUCUUAACAUGUUGCGUUACCAGCUCAUCCACUGAGGAUUUUGAAAUAUGAUAGUACUCUUCCUCUGUUUUCUUUAUCUUUUAUUUACAAGUUAGUUCUAUUGUGAGGAGAAGCUUUGGAAGUGGUUAAUCAGUUCAGUAAGAUAAUUUGAGGUCGACGAGCAGAUUGAUUGCUCAUAUAUCCACCUUAAGAUGGCCACAACGUAUUUCAGAUUUUAGCACAUUAGCUGCCAUCGUUUUGUGAUUUCAGAAAUAUAUUUCAUGUGCUGGAUGGCCUCACUCUUUUAUUGGGUUGUUUUCAGUUAAAGGUUAGAAGACAUGCCAAAUAAUGGAUACUUCUCAAUCAAAUGAACAAACAUGCUAUCCGCCGAGCUUCAAGACUGAAGGGAUAGAUAACCACAACUUCUAAUGACCUAUACCAGCGAUUGAUUGUAGCAUACUGGAUUCCUAAUGCUGACAGGAAUAGCCGCCAUGGCGAUAUUUACAGGCUGUGCACUGAGAUCGAAUAGUCUACAUCAUGCCUCUGGUCGGAACAAAUAAAAAAAAUUGUGGGCUGGACUGAAGUAUCGAAACACACUUGGGAUUUCUGUUUCCUGUAACAUUUUAUUUGGGGAGUUUGUGACUUCUAGACCUGAAUGGUUGUGCAUGGACCAGAAUAUGAAUGAAGGAUACUUUAGUAACAUUUAU